CAGCAACUCACUCUUGUCGACAUAGCCCUGCUGCCUAAUGUAUCUCCCCUGGCUCUCAGUCAACGACAAACUCUCCUGGGACUGGUCCUCCUCAUGUCAUCGCACUGGACUAUAAAUUAAUCCCUAUGACAGAAGAGAACAGCAAGUGUAAUCUGUGUAAAAUGUAAACGACAUGAGAAGAAAAUGGAACAAGCUCUGAUGCAGGAUGGUGAAAAACCUGUGACCCACAGUGACAAGCACAACAGGGACACAUAACCCUGGAGGAGAUGGUGGUGGGCUGAAGUCCUGAAAUAGUUCUGAAGGCUCUAACUGAACACAGGGUUGAAUAGUUUUGAAAAUGAAAAUAAAUAAAAAAUAAAUAAAGAAAUAAAUAACAUGCAGCAGCUAUAGGAUUUAGUAUUAACUUACCCCAAACAAAUAAAAAAUGUGACUGUUAUCUCUUCAUCAUUGUUUAAUUUGUCAUUCAAUCUGUUUCAGUUCUUUGUCUUGAUAGGUGCACAAUAUAAGACAAUCACUGGGAGUAUUUUAGUUCUGUGGCACUGAGUAAAACAAACCCUUGACUUGUCACAAAUAAAU